AGUGAACGCUGGCGGCGUGGAUUAGGCAUGCAAGUCGAACGAUCCGCCCGAAAGGGCGAGAUAGUGGCAAAAGGGUGAGUAACGAGUGAGCAAUUUACCCUCGAGUGGGGAACAACCUUGGGAAACCGAGGCUAAAACCGCAUAAGACCACGGCCGGGCAUCCGGCUGUGAUAAAAAGUGGGGACCUUUAAGGCCCAUUACUUGAGGAUGAGCUCGCUUCCUAUCAGCUUGUUGGCGGGGUAACGGCCCACCAAGGCUUUUGACGGGUAGCUGGUUUGAGAGGAUGGUCAGCCACAUUGGGACUGAGACACUGCCCAGACUCCUACGGGAGGCUGCAGUCGAGGAUAUUUAGCAAUGCCCGAAAGGGUGACUAUGCGACGCCGCGUGUGCGAUGAAGGUCUUCGGAUUGUAAAGCACUGUCGGCCGGGAGGAAU
rnacentral:rRNA from 1 species